UACGUAGGGUGCGAGCGUUAAUCGGAAUUACUGGGCGUAAAGCGUGCGUAGGUGGUUUGUUAAGUCUGAUGUGAAAGCCCUGGGCUCAACCUGGGAAUUGCAUUGGAUACUGGCAGGCUAGAGUGCGGUAGAGGAUGGCGGAAUUCCUGGUGUAGCGGUGAAAUGCGCAGAUAUCAGGAGGAACACCGGUGGCGAAGGCGGGACUCUGGGCCGGAUAACUGACGCUGGAGGAGCGAAAGCGUGGGGAGCAAACAGG
rnacentral:rRNA from 1 species